UACGACUACAUAUCAGGCAUAUCAAUAAGCGGAGGAAAAGAAACUAACAAGGAUUCCCCUAGUAACGGCGAGUGAAGCGGGAAGAGCUCAAAUUUGAAAUCUUAAAGGGUUUCCCUUUACGAAUUGUAGUUUAAAGAAGUGUUUUCUGUUGGAGUUUCGGUAAAAGUUCUUUGGAAUAGGACAUCAUAGAGGGUGAGAAUCCCGUAUUUGACCGUUACUUUCCAGCUGUGUGAUACACUUUCAAAGAGUCGGAUUGUUUGGGAAUGCAGUCCAAAAUGGGUGGUAAAUUUCAUCUAAAGCUAAAUAUUGGCGAGAGACCGAUAGCGAACAAGUACCGUGAGGGAAAGAUGAAAAGAACUUUGAAAAGAGAGUUAAACAGUACGUGAAAUUGUCAAAAGGGAAGCGUUUGACACCAGUGUUGUUUUCUCGAAAAUCAAUUAAAAAUGGCCGGAUUUUGUGUUGUAUUGACUUUAUCAGCUUUCUGCACUUUUUUCUUGUCUUUUUUAAUGCACUUUUCGUUUAACAAGUCAACAUCAAUUUCUUUUGUUGUAAAAGAGUCAUUGGAAGGUGGCUUUCACUUCGGUGAAAGUGUUUAUAGCCUUUGACUUCCUGCAAUCGGAGAGACUGAGGUCUGCAGCGUAGAUCCUUCUGGAUUAGAUACAUUUGUGCUAAGUUAUAGCUUUUCAUAGACAACUUGUUGACUAUGAUUAGUCUUGUAGCUUACUCGCUUAUGCUAUUUUACCUACGCUUAGGAUGUUGACUGAUAUGUAGUCGU
rnacentral:rRNA from 1 species